UCUCCUCCUUCCUGGGGAGGCCACCGCCUCCCUCUCCCCCUUCUGCCCUGGGCUGGUUCCCAGCGAGGUGAGUGACCGGCACAAGUAGGGAAGGAGGAAGCGAGUUUUUAAAAACUGAGUCAGCUCACGCCCUCGGCCAGGGUCCCCACCCGAUGCGUGGUCCCCAGGGCGCCCUCGGGAUCGCACGCCCGAGUCCCGGCCCAGGUGGGGCCCAUUCCGGGUUCUUGCGCGCGGGCAAUGGAUGGGGGCGCGCUGCACCGGGAGCCUGCCCUGCUGAGGGCUCAUCCCCAGCUUUGCCGAGAACUUUCCCGGCGAGGCACCGGCUGGCGUUUUCCCAGCCUGCGAGUGGCAGGCGGGCAGCCAGUCUCUGCUCGGAUCCACGGAGGCCCGGAGCCGCCACGGAGUUCUGGCUCCGGGGAGUGCAAACCCGAAGUCGGCGCGGAAGCCUCUCACCCGCGGCUCUGCCUCCGCCCCUUGGAGAUCUGCCCUCGGAACUGCGUUGCUCUGGCGCCCGAACUAGGGUGGGCUGGUUUCAGCCAGACCGCCAAAAAACGUGGAUGCUAAACACAGAGGGAAGAGCCAGCUCCCAUUCCCUCUCUGAGCCUUAGAUUUUUUUGAAUUCCGAGAGAGGUCAGGCCGGGGUCCCCUUCUUGGGUGAGCGUCCAGCCCUUUGAAGUUCAAACACUGAGAAGCCGAUAGGCAGCUGGCUGGCGUCACAGGAUCGAGCCGAGGACUGAAGGCGCCUCCUACCGGGAAUCCACCGCCUCCAGACGAAAAUAGGCUGCAAUCAAGUUCACUUCCAAAGGCGGAAUUCAUGGGUACAUAUGGUGUCCACGUGUGUACACCUGCAGAGUUGUAACAUGCGGGCAUUUCUCCCCUCAGCCCGCCAUUCUGGCUUCUUAACUUGCACCCUAACAGCUCGACAGAACCUUGGCGUCCACAAAAAGGACUUGAGGUGGGACAUGGAAGAACAGGGACCCCUCCUGGUUUGUCCACCCAGCCCACACCUCCAUUCCUCACCCAACCUACCACUUCAGAGCCGGGAAAAGACCUCAGAGAACAUCCGCUCCGACUCUACCGAGGCUCAGACAGGCAGGAAGAGCCCUCCGGAGCCUCGAAAAGCAGAGUGGAAGUGGUGGUGCCCAGGACGCAUGGGCUCUGAUGGGAAGAGGGAGGUGGGCCUGAGCAUGGGCCUUCUUCUCCCCAGGUCAGAGGGGCCUGGAUGCCCCUGGAGGGAACACUGAGGUCACCUCUGGCCAAAUCUUCCUGUUCUGCCAGUACCCAGCCCUGUUCAGUGACGUCAAGCUUUUGGGUCCCUGUCCUGGGGCCCUCCACGCUGGCCGGGCUGUGUAGAGACGCCCUUCUCUCCACUUUAUUGGGUCCAGAUUGUUGUGUGGCUUCUCCCCUCCUCUGCAGCCUGGGGUCUGAAAACAGCGAUGCCAACAGACAGACAGAUUUCCAAAAGAAAGGUCCGGCUCAGCCAAGGACAAAGGGGCCUCGCAGAGGCUCCUGGGGGUCAGAAAGCUGAGAGUCUACCAGGCAGGUGCCUUCUCCACCCACAGGCACAAGCUACAACAGCUUUCCAAGAAGUGCAUCCACAUCGUCCCCAGGUCCAGAUGCCCACAUUGCCCUGCAGGGACCAAGACCACACUCGGGCUGCUUGGACAGGAUGUAGCUGGUCACUGUUCUGGAGCUGGCCCCUCUGUAGCCUGUGACAAUCAGCUUGAGUCUCUCUGCCAAGUCUCCGCCUUCUGUUCUUCUUGCCGACCUUGAAGCAGAGUUGACGUUUCAGGUUUUUCCAGCAGACAAAGCUCACUCAAUCUGAUACUGUGGAGGUUGUUAAUUUAACAACCAACCCAUCCUCAUGUUGAGAAACCAGCUCCAAAUGCUCACCUGGCUGUCAGGGAUGGGGAGCCUCAUGGGUGAAAGAGGGUUGUGAUGGCAUAAUUUAAACCAAAAGAGGCAUUCGCGGUUGCCCGUGUUGCCUCAGGCCUGCUGGCCUCCUGCUGUGAACAUUUUGGGCAAUACUGUCUCUGCCAGUGACCCCCAAUUGUCCACUUGUCUCCAGCAAGAUCGAACCAUGUAAGUGCCAUUUCUGACAAGUUGGGUGAACGUUGGUUUCAAAUCAUCAGCUCUGCAUUCAAGUGCCCUGCUACAAUUCUGGCUCACUCUGUGGGAAUAACUGCCUGCCUGGGCACGUUGCUGUUGCUGCCUCCCAAACGGCAGUUUCUGGGGUCCCAGGUCAUCCAGGCUGGAUGUGGCUUGGGAGAGACCUGUGGCACCAGGUUGGAGGGAGGUCUCACCUCUCCUUUCUGAGCUGUGGACUGCAGCUUCAGGACCCUAUGGAUGAGGCCGAAUGUCAUGAAGAUAAUGGAAUUUGGAGUCUCAACAAAGCCAAGCCACAUGCCAGAGAUUCACCACCUGGGGCCCAGGAUCAGAAGUGUGCCCUUAGGAGGCCAAACAUCCACCUGUCUACCAACUAGACAUUUGGUCUCAGACAGCAAGAAAGGCUGCGUUUAUGUCAUUAGGGGGAACACCACGGUCUUCGGCAUGAGAGAGGUGUAAUUCUCAAGUUCAUCAGAGCUCGGCUUCCCCCAUGAGAGGAAACAAUUUGCCAGGUUGAAGAACACACGCUUUGAGGGUUCUCAGAGGCUGACACCUGUUGUGAAUCUUGGAAACUCAAGCCCCAGUGCAAACGGCCUUGAAGGAGGUCGAGCAUCAUGGUUCCAACAAGUGACUCGCUUUGAUAACCCGAUGUGUAAGCAGAAUCGCAAUGCAUCCGUCCUUCCCUAAUCAUCACGUGGCUGUCAUCUGGUCAAUGAACUGAGGCCCGAAGGCUUGAGUCAAACUGGUUUUCAAGGCUGUGCUCAUGGGAUUUAUAUGUUUCUUGAGCCCUGUUGGAGGCUCUUGGCAGGUCUGA
ensembl:lncRNA TMEM51-AS1 TMEM51 antisense RNA 1